UACGUAGGGUCCGAGCGUUGUCCGGAAUUAUUGGGCGUAAAGAGCUCGUAGGCGGUUUGUCGCGUCUGCUGUGAAAUCCCGAGGCUCAACCUCGGGUCUGCAGUGGGUACGGGCAAACUAGAGUGCGGUAGGGGAGAUUGGAAUUCCUGGUGUAGCGGUGGAAUGCGCAGAUAUCAGGAGGAACACCGAUGGCGAAGGCAGAUCUCUGGGCCGUAACUGACGCUGAGGAGCGAAAGCAUGGGGAGCGAACAGG
rnacentral:rRNA from 1 species